GGAUGCGAUGGUAGGAGGCUGGUGUUCGGCACUCACAUCAGAAAGGGGAUUGCAUCCAUUUGGGAAAAAGCUCUUGGCCAAAGAGUCCAGGACUGAGUGAAAUUCCAUCCUUUUGAAGAGGGGAAAAAAAAAAAAAAAAAAAAAAAAAAAAAAAAAAAAAAAAAAAAAAAAAUUUUUAAAAAAAAAAAAAUUGCUUAAAAGAAAAUACUGUCAGAUGUCCAUGUACUAUUAACACAGAAUAAUUUAUACUGGAUUCUGCUCUUACUGUUUUGGUAGAUCUGUAUGUGCUCUGCCUGUGAUCUGGAUGGGGCCAGGGUUUCUAUGUCUGUGCUUCUGGCAAAUGUGGUCUGAUUCAGCCUUUACAGUUUUGAUGCCUCAAACAAAUGUCAGCACCUUUAUCAACAAAUGCACUGACAAGUGGAUUAGACAAGCAAGUGGGCUGGAGAAGGCAUCUGCUUCCAGUCUUCUGAUGUACCUCGAGGACCUACGUCUGGAGGACUUGGCUUGUCCCACCAGCAGAAGAAAACCACCAGUAGAACUCUUGAAGGUUUUGUAGUCUGUUGUAUGGAAAUUGUCACAGGGAUAUUUUUGUUUGUGCAGUGGAACAAAAGUGAAAACUUUCCACCUCCUUGGAUUUCAUGAAUUUAGUGAAGAUCUCCCAAAGCAGCACUCAUUCCCAUGCAGGUCAGGCUCGUUGUCCACGUG
rnacentral:lncRNA from 1 species